UUGCUCAGUGGUAAGCAUCUGCUUUGCAUGCAGAAGGUCUCAGGUUCAAUCCCUGGCUGGGAAU